UUUUGGAUUCUCUGUUUUUGUCUCUUUUUUGCCUUUUCUUUUGUGUGGAACUGAAGGGUUAUGUAAGGAUAGGGAUGCUAAUGGGAAUACAGUAUGUUCGGGGAAUUUCGCAUUUCUCGCUUUCCUGAACUUGAGGCUUUGCUUUUUUAGCUCGUCUUUUCCUAAUUGAUUACACUUUCUGUAAUAGUAUUCCCUUUGAUUGUGAGUGAAGUUAAGGAUUCGGUGAGUCGCUCGUGG
rnacentral:misc_RNA from 1 species